UACGUAGGUGGCAAGCGUUGUCCGGAUUUACUGGGCGUAAAGGAUGCGUAGGCGGACAUUUAAGUCAGAUGUGAAAUACCCGAGCUUAACUUGGGUGCUGCAUUUGAAACUGGGUGUCUAGAGUGCAGGAGAGGUAAGUGGAAUUCCUAGUGUAGCGGUGAAAUGCGUAGAGAUUAGGAAGAACACCAGUGGCGAAGGCGACUUACUGGACUGUAACUGACACUGAGGCGCGAAAGCGUGGGGAGCGAACAGG
rnacentral:rRNA from 1 species